UGGGGAAUCUUGGACAAUGGGGGCAACCCUGAUCCAGCCAUGCCGCGUGAGUGAUGAAGGCCUUAGGGUCGUAAAGCUCUUUCGCCUGUGAAGAUAAUGACGGUAGCAGGUAAAGAAACCCCGGCUAACUCCGUGCCAGCAGCCGCGGUAAUACGGAGGGGGUUAGCGUUGUUCGGAAUUACUGGGCGUAAAGCGCACGUAGGCGGACCAGAAAGUUGGGGGAUGAAAUCCCGGGGGCUCAACCCCGGAACUGCCUCCAAAACUAUUGGUCUAGAGUUCGAGAGAGGUGAGUGGAAUUCCAAGUGUAGAGGUGAAAUUCGUAGAUAUUUGGAGGAACACCAGUGGCGAAGGCGGCUCACUGGCUCGAUACUGACGCUGAGGUGCGAAAGUGUGGGGAGCAAACAGGAUUAGAUACCCUGGUAGUCCACACCGUAAACGAUGAAUGCCAGUCGUCGGGUAGCAUGCUAUUCGGUGACACACCU
rnacentral:rRNA from 1 species